UACGGAGGGGGCUAGCGUUGUUCGGAAUUACUGGGCGUAAAGCGCACGUAGGCGGAUUGUUAAGUCGGGGGUGAAAUCCUGGAGCUCAACUCCAGAACUGCCUUCGAUACUGGCGAUCUCGAGUUCGGGAGAGGUGAGUGGAACUGCGAGUGUAGAGGUGAAAUUCGUAGAUAUUCGCAAGAACACCAGUGGCGAAGGCGGCUCACUGGCCCGAUACUGACGCUGAGGUGCGAAAGCGUGGGGAGCAAACAGG
rnacentral:rRNA from 1 species